UGGAGGCAGCAGUGAGGAAUUUUGCGCAAUGGGGGAAACCCUGACGCAGCAACGCCGCGUGAGUGAUGAAGGCCUUCGGGUCGGAAAGCUCUGUCAGAGGGAAAGAAGUGUAGUGGUGCUAAUAUCAUCAUUACUUGACGGUACCCUCAAAGGAAGCACCGGCUAACUCCGUGCCAGCAGCCGCGGUAAUACGGAGGGUGCAAGCGUUGUUCGGAAUUAUUGGGCGUAAAGCGCGUGUAGGCGGUCUUUUAAGUCUGAUGUGAAAGUCCCGGGCUCAACCUGGGAAGUGCAUUGGAAACUGGGAGACUUGAGUACGGGAGAGGGCAGUGGAAUUCCUAGUGUAGGAGUGAAAUCCGUAGAUAUUAGGAGGAACACCGGUGGCGAAGGCGGCUGCCUGGACCGAUACUGACGCUGAGACGCGAAAGCGUGGGGAGCAAACAGGAUUAGAUACCCUCGUA
rnacentral:rRNA from 1 species